rnacentral:hammerhead_ribozyme from 1 species
GCAGUGCUGAGGAGUCCAAUAAUAGGGCGAAACGGCCGUCCAAUAC